rnacentral:rRNA from 1 species
CCAGCAGCCGCGGUAAUUCCAGCUCCAAUAGCGUAUACUAAAGUUGCUGCAGUUAAAAAGCUCGUAGUUAAAGGUGCGGCUAGUGGUAGUUGGUAGACGCAUGUCUGCCAUUGCUGUAGUCGUAGUUGUGAGGGUCGGUUUCGGGUCUCACUCAGUCACUGUGAAGUAAUCCGAGUGUCCCAAGCAGGCGGUUUGGCCUGAAGGGUAUAGCAUGGAAUGACGAGAUAGGACCUUGUGGUAUUUCGUGGGUUUGCACGACGAGGUAAUGAUGAAGAGGGGCGGUUUGGGGCACUCAGAUUUGGCUGCCAGAGGUGAAAUUCUCGGAUCAGCCAAAGAUGGACGACUGCGAAAGCACUUGCCAGGGACGCUCCCGCUAAUCAAGAACGAA